CCCCUCUGAAAAGCACUCACUGGGCCUUUCGCUAACGACCCACGGAGCCGGCUGGAAAGGGCAAAGUGAAAACCCGGCUUCGGGUGAAGUGGCAGCACAUCGUGUUGCUUCACUUCAGUUGAUGGUGUGACAAGG